CUCUUUUUGACCUUCAGGCACCCUCUUGGGUCUUUUACAAGUGAACUUUCUUUCCUGUUUUAAAGCCUUUUAAAUAAACUUCCACUCCUGUGCUGAAACUUGCCUUAGUCUUUUUUUCUGCUUUAUGCCCCUCAGUCGAAUUCUUUCAUCUGAGGAGGCAAGAAUUGAAGUUGCUGCAGACGCCUGUGGAUUCACCACAAGUACAUUGGAGUAACCACUGGGAACAACAGGUUGCCUUAGAAGCUUUGCAGGUUGUUUUGUUUUUUUGUUUGUUUGUUUUUUUGAGACGGGGUCUCACUUUGUCGCCCAGGUUUGUUGCCCAGGCUGGAGUGCAGUGGCGCAAUCUCGGCUCUCCGCAACCUCUGCCUCCCGGGCUCAAGUGAUCCUCCCACCUCGGCUUCCCGAGUACCUGGGACUACAGGCAUGCACCACCACACCCGGCUAAUUUUAAUUUUUAUUUUGUAUUUUUAGUAGAGUUGGGGUUUCACCAUGUUCCCAGCUGGUCUUGAACUCUUGAGGUGAAGCAAUCCGCCCACCUCAGCCUCCCAAAGUGCUGAGAUUACAGACGUGAGCCAUCGCGCCUAGCCUUGCAAGUUGUUUUUUGUUGAACAGAAGAAGCUAUUCAAAAAUGUCCAGGACUCUGUUAUUUAUUCAGCAAGCUUACAAAGCCAUCUUUGAUUGACUGAUUCUUUGACAAUGACUAUCUGGAUGACACAGGAAGGAUGCAAUUCUGGCCUUGGAGAGAAAACUUGCAAGGAAAGGAACAUGUUUGAAUUUCAGAUGUGUUCCUCAAUGAAUCACACUUGUUACAUUUACUGACUCUCAUGGUGGUGGAGAUGGAUUUUUUCCUAGUGUGCCUGUGUGUGGCUUUCCACCCCGAAGACUGGAAAAUCUCUUUUCUAACCAUGGGAGAAAAACUGAAGCAGAAACAGCAAGAAAUACAGCUGACUCUCAAAUGUGCUCUUGCAGAUGCAAAAUCACUGUGGUUUGGCAUCAGACCAGAAGAUGUAGGAAUCAGUAUCAGCAGAGAUGUGGGCUUCUUGGUCCAAGGCAGAUUCAAGAAGUAGAAGAUUACAGGAGAAGAGCUAGACAUAGGAAUAAAUGCAUCUAUUUCCUUGUUUUAAGAGAGACUAUAAAAGUUAACAUUUUU
rnacentral:lncRNA from 1 species